CUCACGAUCUCUCUCUCUCUCUCUCUCUCUCUCAAAAAUAAACAUUAAAAAUUAAACACACACAAAAAAAGAGCUUCCUGAUUCCUUUCCUCAUUUGUACGUCUUGCAUUGCUUUCCUCCUGCUUCAGAAAUAAGCCAAAGCCGGAUGCCUGGUGGCUCAGUCGGUUGAGCGUCCGACCAUUGAUUUCAGCUCAGGUCAUGAUCUCACGGUUCAUGACAUCGAACCCGGUGUCAGGCUCCACGUUGAUCGUGGAGACUGCUCAUGCUCUCUCUCUCUCAAAGAGAAAAAACAAACAAACCAAAGUAAAAGUAACUAUGAACCAUGUCUCCACUGUCACGCAACACCCGACAGACUCUGCGUUCCGGCUCGAGCAGUGUCUCACAUGAACACACACGGCAUUUGCCUCACUCACUGCCACAAACAUCUGGAUGCUCCUUUCUCAACCACAGAGGGCAAUCUCGACUGGCCUGUCAUACAACUCGUUUCUCAAAACUCCAGAGCAGACGUCUCGUUCCUUAGCUUCUCUGGUGCCCCUUCCCUGGGAAGGAGAGGGUGGGUUCCAAUCUCGCUUGCCCUGAUGCUUGUGCGAACUUGGGCAAGUUACCCGUCAUCUCCAAGCCUUGUUUGGACAAGUCAGGUAUCUGCCUCGGUGGGUUAUCCUGAGGAUAAAGGAGAUAAUGUAGGUACAGAGCACUGCCCGCUGCCUGGCAUGUAGUCCGUGCUCAGUAAACAGCAACGGUAGUGGUGUUUCGACAUGACUGGUUUCACAAGCCUGUCGCCCAAUGUUUGCAUCACAACGUGUCCCUGCUCAAACCAGGAGGUCAGAAUGUUUCACUUCGGUUUGGGAAACAGUGAGGGAGUCGAGGGGGCACUAACAUUUCUUAAUCCUUAUCAUCUCCGCGGUGGAAAAUAUCAAUCGUUAUCAUCUCAUUUUAGAAAUAAGGACGCUGAGCCUCGUUCUUGGCGAUGGUCGCUCAGGUUGGCCUGCAUGGGAAGCCGGUACCCCUCCCACCUAAAAGUGCUCAAGAUCUCAGGGCGCCUGGGUGGCUCAGGCAGGUGUCUGGCUGGAAGCAUCUUUCCCUGCACUGCAAUCGGGUUCCCUUGUGCUGUUGUCCAUCACGUGUAUGCCACGACACGACCAUCUUCUGCUUGACUCUUCGAUGAGAUCCCGAGACCGUGUUCCGCAUUUUUUCACUUCUCUCCAUUCCCCCCAACAUUUAACCCAGAAAUAUGCUGGAAAUGGAUAGAUGCUCAUGGAGUGAUAAAAAAAUUAGCAAGGUCACAAAUCCGAAGAAAGACUUUAGAUCUGGGUUUUUGGGUUUUUUUUCCUAGAGUUCUAUCUGAACAGAAAUCACAUGUUAAAUAAAUGACUAAACUUUG